UUCGACCCGCUGAACCGAACCAAACAAAUUUUUCAUCCGGUUCACGUCCCUGGUUAUAAGUAUUCGAAAUUUAGUAUCUGAAUGGAAACUCAAGAGAAAAAAAUAAAUUUUUCAGCUGGCACACUUAUUUAUCGAUAGGUGGAUGGUGCUAAAAACGGAUUGGUCCACACUCGUAUAAUGCGUUGACAAAUCGGACCACAAAGAAAUCUAUGAAAGGUUAAUUAAUCCAGACCUGGGGGUCAGUUCUCGUUCUGUGAAACGUGCGAUAAGGCAGGCAGCGCAGAGAAGUGGUAUAAACGGUUUGAGCCGGGCCAAAGUACUGUCACCGCUGGAAGAGCGCAUAAUUAAGAUAACAACUGUGCAGGCAGUCGAUGGUGAUGAAACGGGCGAA